rnacentral:rRNA from 1 species
AGCUCCAGAAGCGUAUAUUAACGUUGUUGCAGUUAAAAAGCUCGUAGUUGAAUGUCUGGUUUUUUGUUUGUGUCGAGAGACGCAAAUUGGCCGCGUCGGUCCGGAGCGUUCUCGCAAGAGGCGCUGUUUGUGUAUCGACUUUUUUUGUUGGCCAGCCAUAUUGUUUUUUACGGCCUCACGGUUGUUCAAGACUUGUUUACUUUGAAAAAAUUAGAGUGUUUAAAGCAGAACUUUCCAAAAAGUUCAUUGAAUACAUUAGCAUGGAAUAAUGAGAUAGGACUGUGGUUUUAUUUUGUUGGUUUCUAGAACUGUAGUAAUGAUUGACAGGGACGGUUGGGGGUGCUAGUAUUCAAUGGCCAGAGGUGAAAUUCAUGGAUUCAUUGAAGACUAACUAAAGCGA